CCUAAAACUUAAAAUUACAGCCUAAAAGUACAAGCAUAAGAGAAUACAGGCUUCUGAAGCCCAAAAAAUGCUUCUAAAACAUCAAAAGUCCAAGGCCUAAUAGGCAAACCCUAGAGUUAAAGGAGAAGGUGCUAAAUGUGUCAUCGUCACCGUCCUUUAUUGCCUUUGCUAUGCAGGUAAGAUCAUCUCCUGAAUCCAACAUAGAAAAGAAAAACUAUUGAACAACUUCAAGAGAGCAAGAUAGGAAGAUAAGACAACAACAUCGAAACUCAUCUAUUCCCUUAAACUAAACAAAGCUUCAUAAAUCAACCAUGAAAGUCUCACCCAGAAAGCUCUCCUACAACCUGCAUAUCAUUUAUUUGAAGCCUAGAAAUAGAGGAGCUAUCUUUAGGAAUAUAGAUCCAAGGGUGGAGAGGUUGGGUCAAACAAAAGGUAACAAAAUCCAACUUAAGUCAUCAAGUGUUGAGAAUGGCUAAGAGUAAAAAAUAAUGAGAUUUAACAGCCACAUGACGGGGUACUCGAAACUCCUUUUACAGAUUCAUAUUCAGGGUCACCAUGGAGGCAUGCAAAUAUGAUUAUCAACUUUAGGAGGUAGCCAUUGCUAAAAUAAAGCUCCCUCACCGAUCUUGAUACAACUCACAAAGGCAGCCAUGAAGAUAGAGACUUGAGGAUGCCAAUAGUGCUAAUUAUAGGGGCACACUCCGAUAAGCUUCAGGAAUAACUUCAUAUUUAUGUAUAAGUUUAGAUU
rnacentral:lncRNA from 1 species